CCUUCUACUUUUUUUCCUACUUCCCCGGUCCAGAGCGCUCCACAGACAGCGGGCUAAUACCCCGCAGUAAGAGGUUUACCUGAGCCGAGCCGACUCUGGGUCAGUGGAUUGUACGACUAAACUCCGCCGAUUCUAUUUCCACGAAGAAGACGGAGCGACGUUUCACUGCUGGAGAUCUCCAGCGCUCUGAUGUCACGCCACCAACGUUUCUGACGGAUCCCACCCGGCAGCAGACGACGGGGCCCGCCUGGAGAUCCAGUCCUUCAUCCCUUCAUCCCUUCGGUCUGAGGAGGGAUAACGACGAGAGCGUGUUUGCGUUCUGAAGGGAGAAGAGGAGCCUGGAUAUGGCUUUUCAGUGUAUGAGAGAAAGACACACAGAGCUGAUCUGAGGUCACGGUUCUCCUCCUCUUCCUCCCUCCCCCUCCCCCCGGUUGAGGUUGCUAUCACUACGCUGAGCGAGCUAAAUAUUUGUAUUCUGACUUGGAGAAGCAAAAGGAUCCCCUCGGUUGGGAGGGGCAAAGAGCUUCUUAUCGGGGGAGUUUUGCUUUGCGAGCUAUUCGACGACGUUCAACUUCAUUUCCUGAGAAACUGACUGACCCACAAACAUAUAGAGGUGCUUCCUAGUCGACUGAACGGAGGACACAACAUCUCCAAAUCGCCCCACGCUAACCUGUCAGAAGCAGAAAUGCCGGCAAAGACACCAAUGUACUUAAAGACGCCAACCUCCAAGAAGGGGAAGAGGCUGAGGCUCCGCGAUGUCCUCUCGGGCGAUAUGAUCAGCCCGCCGCUGGGCGACGUGCGCCACAGCGCGCACGUGGGGCCUGAUGGGCAGGGCGACAUGUUUGGUGACGUGGGUUUCCUGCAGGGCAAGUUGGACAUGCUGCCGGCCCUGAGUCGGAUGCAGGACGGCCGCUCGCACAGCGUGGAGAGGCGACUGGACGACGGCCUGGCGGCGAGACAGGACUCGCACAGCUACGCCUACAACGGUUACCACUAUCAGCACUCCUCCACCGGCCUGCUGAAGACCACCAUCUCCAUGCCAGUGUUCAUCGCACACGAGCAGGCGCCGCCCAAGCCCCCGCGCCUCCACCUGGAUGACCCUUCCCCUCCUUCCCUGGCCUCCCAGCAGAACCACUUCCACUGCCAUCAGCAGGCGGCGGACACGGGCCGCCGACUGACCAACGGCCACACGGACGACCACAGCCAGCUCUUGGAGAACGGUGUGGUGGGCCGCCUGGCAUCGGAGGCCUGCCGCGACAUUUCCCUCUCCCCCGCCGUCGGCAGGCUCGUCCCCUCCUCCGGCUCCUUCUCCGAGGUCUCCUCCGAGGACUCCAUGUCGGAAACCUGCGGGCCCCUGGAUGGCCAUCGGGGCCUCAGUCUGGACUCGGACGCAGGCCUGAGCAACGAGGAUUUGAGGAGUGACCGCAGCGAGUCGCCCUGCUCCGCCUUCCAUCCGGCCGGCCUCAUCGUGUCAUCAGGGGUCUCGCGGUCGGACUCUUUGCCGGGGUUGGACCUGGAUCUGGGCCCAUCUAUCAUGGACGACGUGCUGAGCAUCAUGGACCGCUACAAGACCGAGGACAACCGCUGCGAGCUGUGAAGAAACGUUAAUGUGAUGUACUGAUAUUUUUUUAUACGGAUAAAUAAAUCCCUAAAGACUUUGUUAAGAUAGUAAAAGAGGACAGAAGGCAUGGAGGAGUGGAGAAUAUAAAAGGACAAGGUGAGAACGGGUGGACACUGUUGAUAAGUGUCGAGACGCCGCUGCACGACAUGACGACAGCCAAGGCCAGAGGCUGGUCCUUAAGGGCCAUUUAUCAAAACUGAAACUCAUGACACAACAAACUGCAAGCUAAACACACAACCAGCCACAAACAGCAUUGUAUUGUCCUCUUAAUCUGACAUUUUUGCUUGUUAAUGGUUAACAUAAAGCCAAAUGUGUCGGACAUUAAUGUGUCAAGAACCCCCCCCCACACACACACACACACAGCUACUGACUGUCUCACAACAAGAUGUUGUUCAAACACAUUCUCAGUCUGCAAAUGUAAAGAGUGUUACGCUGUCCUGUUCCAUAUUCUGUCCUGAAUAUUAAUAUCUUCACUGGUUUACUGUUCACUUCAAUGCCAGAUGAAAUGUGAAGAACUCCUUUCCUCCCGUAGAACGUGAAGAUGGAAUGAUGUCAAACGGUCUCGACGUAAGAGAACAACAUUUCAGUGACUUUCUUUUCAUUCACAGUGGUGCUCCACAGACAGACAGCACCCCAGCUGAGGACAGGGUUCAACAAAAGGACUAUUUCCUGAUGGCCGUGACAGUGAGCUGGGUAACACAAGGAGAACAUAAUCAGCUACUACUGUUAACACACAACAAUGAGAAUGGGUGUUAUUUAAAGUCUUACAAAUCAAUACUUGACAUUUAGCAGUUCUGGUGGUGCAGUGAGCACUCUGGUAACAAUAUGUGUUCCUCUGUCCGUGGUGCUGGCCCUCAGUAAUUGUCUGGAGUGGUUGUGUGUGCGUUUAAAGCAACGAUGUGUGUGUUUGUCUGCGUGCGUGCGUGCGUGGUUUAGUGGCGCCUGGUGGUGAGGUUGCAGAUUGCAUCCCACUGAAAUCCCCUCAGCUCAGCUGUCCCUUUCCAAGCCUGUGGGAGAACUGUGUGCGCUGUGGUCAUCAGGAAGUAAUACUUUGUCCUACAUUACGUUCAUGAUUGUUCUAUCUAUUCCAUAGAAGGCCACAGACAAUGGGACAAUAGAUCCAGAAGACAACAAUGCAACUCAACGGACGCUGGAUGCCGUACAACCCCACAGAGGAAGUUGGGUCUAUAGUCAGAGUUUGUCUUGGUCUCGGUCUGUCCUGUUAUAUUUGGUUCAUGUCAAGUUAGCGUGACUUAAAUUCAGUUCUGUUCAUUUGACCUCUUUAUUUAUUGUUUGCUUUAUUUUUGGAUGG